rnacentral:rRNA from 1 species
UACGUAGGUGGCAAGCGUUGUCCGGAUUUAUUGGGUUUAAAGGGUGCGUAGGCGGUCCUAUAAGUCAGUGGUGAAAUACUCUAGCUUAACUAGAGGGGUGCCAAUGAUACUGUAGGACUUGAGUACAGAUGAGGUAGGCGGAAUUGACGGUGUAGCGGUGAAAUGCAUAGAUAUCGUCAAGAACACCUAUAGCGAAGGCAGCUUACUGGGCUGUAACUGACGCUGAGGCACGAAAAGUGUGGGGGAUCAAACAGGG